GCCAGUGUGGCAUACUGGUUAGGGUGUUGGACUAGGACUCUGGAGACCAAGGUUCAAAUCCCGGCUCAGCCA